rnacentral:rRNA from 1 species
UGGGGAAUAUUGCGCAAUGGGGGAAACCCUGACGCAGCAACGCCGCGUGAAGGAAGAAGGAUUUCGGUUCGUAAACUUCUAUCGAUGGGGAAAAAGUGCACGCAAGUGCUUGAUGGUACCCAAGUAAGAAGCCCCGGCUAACUACGUGCCAGCAGCCGCGGUAAUACGUAGGGGGCAAGCGUUAUCCGGAAUUAUUGGGUGUAAAGGGUGAGUAGGCGGUUAAAUAGGUCACAUGUUAAAUGGAACAGCUCAACUGUUUCAUGCAUGAGAAACCGUUAAACUAGAGUACAGGAGAGGUAAGCGGAAUUCCUAGUGUAGCGGUGAAAUGCGUAGAUAUUAGGAAGAACACCGGUGGCGAAGGCGGCUUACUGGACUGAGACUGACGCUGAAUCACGAAAGCGUGGGGAGCAAACA